AUUGAACGCUGGCGGCAUGCCUUACGCAUGCAAGUCGAACGGUAACGGGCCUUCGGGUGCCGACGAGUGGCGAACGGGUGAGUAAUGUAUCGGAACGUACCUUUCAGUGGGGGAUAACGUAGCGAAAGUUACGCUAAUACCGCAUAUUCUGUGAGCAGGAAAGCAGGGGAUCGCAAGACCUUGCGCUGAUUGAGCGGCCGGUAUCAGAUUAGCUAGUUGGUGAGGUAAAGGCUCACCAAGGCUACGAUCUGUAGCGGGUCUGAGAGGAUGAUCCGCCACACUGGAACUGAGACACGGUCCAGACUCCUACGGGAGGCAGCAGUGGGGAAUUUUGGACAAUGGGGGCAACCCUGAUCCAGCCAUGCCGCGUGAGUGAAGAAGGCCUUCGGGUUGUAAAGCUCUUUCGGCCGGGAAGAAAUCGUAUCAGCUAAUACCUGGUGCGGAUGACGGUACCGGCAUAAGAAGCACCGGCUAACUACGUGCCAGCCGCCGCGGUAAAAC
rnacentral:rRNA from 1 species